GACGAACGCUGGCGGCGUGCUUAACACAUGCAAGUCGAGCGGUAAGGCCCUUUCGGGGGUACGACGAGCGGCGAACGGGUGAGUAACACGUGGGUGACCUGCCCUUAGCUCUGGGAUAAGCCUGGGAAACUGGGUCUAAUACCGGAUAUGACUCCAUGACGCAUGUUGUGGGGUGGAAANCCUUGUGCGGCUAGGGAUGGGCCCGCGCUAUCAGCUUGUUGGUGGGGUGAUGGCCUACCAAGGCGACGACGGGUAGCCGGCCUGAGAGGGCGACCGGCCACACUGGGA
rnacentral:rRNA from 1 species